AUACUUACCUGGCAGGGGAGAAACCAUGAUCACAGAGGUGGUUUUUCCCAGGACAAGGCUCAUUCACUUUAAGCAGAGCAUGCUGACCACUGCAAUUUCCCCAAAUUCAGGAAACUUGACAGCAUAAUGUGUGGUAAUGGGAACUGUGUUUUUGCUCUCCCCUU